rnacentral:rRNA from 1 species
GAUGAACGCUAGCGGCAGGCCUAACACAUGCAAGUCGAGGGGUAGUUACUUUCGGGUAAUGAGACCGGCGCACGGGUGCGUAACGCGUAUGCAAUCUACCUUUUACAGGGGAAUAGCCCAGAGAAAUUUGGAUUAAUGCCCCAUAGUAUGUAUGAAUCGCAUGGUUUAUACAUUAAAGUUCCAACGGUAAAAGAUGAGCAUGCGUCCCAUUAGUUAGUUGGUAAGGUAACGGCUUACCAAGACGAUGAUGGGUAGGGGUCCUGAGAGGGAGAUCCCCCACACUGGUACUGAGACACGGACCAGACUCCUACGGGAGGCAGCAGUGAGGAAUAUUGGACAAUGGGCGCAAGCCUGAUCCAGCCAUGCCGCGUGCAGGAAGAAGCAUCUAUGGUGUGUAAACUGCUUUUGUACGGGAAGAAACACUCCUACGUGUAGGAGCUUGACGGUACCGUAAGAAUAAGGGAUCGGCUAACUCCGUGCCAGCAGCCGCGGU